UACGGAGGGUGCAAGCGUUAAUCGGAAUUACUGGGCGUAAAGCGUGCGCAGGCGGUUUGUUAAGUCUGCUGUGAAAUCCCCGAGCUCAACUUGGGAAUUGCAGUGGAUACUGGCAGGCUGGAGUAUGGUAGAGGAAGGUGGAAUUCCCGGUGUAGCAGUGAAAUGCGUAGAGAUCGGAAAGAACACCAACGGCGAAAGCACUCUGCUGGGCCGACACUGACACUGAGAGACGAAAGCUAGGGGAGCAGAUGGG
rnacentral:rRNA from 1 species